UGGUGGGGCAGCCCUUCACACAGUCAUUCAAGACUCAGGAUAAUGAACAUUCUGUCAUUCUUAAUAAGGCUUCCAAGAUUCUGCUUUGUACAUUGACCUGGUUUCCAUUUUAACUUGUAUGCAUUUUCUACUAGAUAAAAACUUGGAGCUAAAGCAGCUGUCAACCUGGAAGUACCAAUGGACACUGACAAAACAAUAAACAAAUCUCCAACAAAAGCCUGUUCUCUCUAGCCAAAAAUCCAAGACAGUCUUGAGAAGACUAGUAAGACAGAAAACUUUUAGACAAUAACAGCUCUACUCCAGCCAGCCACAACAACAAUAACAAAAAAACUGUGGCUCUACCCCACCCAUGGCAAAAGCCAAGUGGGGAAGCCAAGCUUUCCACUCAUGCCUGACUGUGACAAGGCACUCACCCUUCCUUCCAGGGUAACGUCUGGGAAAGCUGAGUAAGGAAUUGGUAGUUUCAUUCUCACUGGGUGGUAAGGAGUCCACCUUACUGUUAGCAGAGUCCACAUGACUUUAGUAGUGUUGGUAGUUGUGGUGGUAUUAUUAGUAGAGGCCAUUUAGGGAGCCAUGACAAGGCACUCAUAUCCAUCGCAGUCAGUGAGUUACCAGCAGACACCUCGUGUGGAGUUGGAAGUCCCAACCCUAGCAGUUGGAGACAGACUCCCUGCUACAACUUGAGAGUCAACAGAGGCCAAAUAAGGAACCUGGAGACCUGGGCAUUUAUCCCACAGAAACGGAACUUAUACCCACCCAAAAGGUUACCCAAAAAUAUGUGUAGUAGUUUUAAUUAUAGUAGUCAGUAACUGGAAACAAUCCAGAUGUCCUUCAAAAAGUGAAUGGUUAAGCAAACUGUGGUACUUCCAUUUCUUGGGAAAUUACUCAGUAAUUUAAAAAAAAUUGUUAAUGCAACAACCUAGAUGACUAUUCAGAGAUUUGUGCUGAGUGAAAAAAGCAAUCCCAAAAGGUUGUAUCUUGUAAUUCCAUUUAUGUAUUUUUCCUGAAAUGACAAAACUGCAGAAAUGUAGAACAAAUUAGUGGCUGCCAGGUGUUAAGGAGAAGGUGAAGAUAAGAGAAAAAUGUGUGCAGCUAUAAAAGUGCAACAUGAGGGAUCCUUGUGGUAGUGAAACUAUUCGGUAUCUUGCUUAUAUCAAUGUCAGCAUGUUACUUGUGAUUUUGUGGUGUUUGAUUUUUUUGGCGUUGUUAUAGUUUUUCCAUUGGUGGAUAUUGGGUGAAUAGCCCAUGAGAUAUAUCUGUAUUAUUUCUUCCAACUGCAUGUGAAUCUACAAUUAUCUAAAAAUUAAAAUUUUAAUUAAAAAUGGAGCUAAUUGGGUGUUUUUUCUAUUUUUCAAAAAGUAUCAUUAUAGGUAUUGAUUAGAAGUUAGAACCUGGAGGAGGACCAAAUAGGAGACCAAAAUUAAAUUAUCA
rnacentral:lncRNA from 1 species